GAUGAACGCUGGCGGCGUGCUUAACACAUGCAAGUCGAACGGAAAGGCCCAAGCUUGCUUGGGUACUCGAGUGGCGAACGGGUGAGUAACACGUGGGUGAUCUGCCCUGCACUUCGGGAUAAGCCUGGGAAACUGGGUCUAAUACCGGAUAGGACGAUGGUUUGGAUGCCAUUGUGGAAAGUUUUUUCGGUGUGGGAUGAGCUCGCGGCCUAUCAGCUUGUUGGUGGGGUAAUGGCCUACCAAGGCGUCGACGGGUAGCCGGCCUGAGAGGGUGUACGGCCACAUUGGGACUGAGAUACGGCCCAGACUCCUACGGGAGGCAGCAGUGGGGAAUAUUGCACAAUGGGCGCAAGCCUGAUGCAGCGACGCCGCGUGGGGGAUGACGGCCUUCGGGUUGUAAACUCCUUUCGCUAGGGACGAAGCGUUUUUGUGACGGUACCUGGAGAAGAAGUACCGGCUAACUACGUG
rnacentral:rRNA from 1 species